AAGAAAAAGAUUGAAAUGACUGUUCCAAAUUUCACCUAUACCUUUCUUUGAGAUUUCAACAAAAAAUUUUGCUUUUCUUAUGAAAUGUUUAUUAUUCGUUGAUAGAUCUAAAGCUUAUGCCGUAGAAGCUGACAUCAGGCUAUUGGCCUUUUAUAUGCAUCUUCCCUCGUAGAGUGGCGUCUUUUACAAGAAAAGACUUUCUCAGUGGAACUAAAAAAAAAAGAGUUUGAGCUCUUU
rnacentral:lncRNA from 1 species